UGAAAGCAGAUCAUCUACAUAAUGCUAUUAUAAAUUAUAGUAAUUAUUAUGCAGAUGAUGCCUUCUAUGAAGAGCAAUCACAUAGCACGUGUGAUUUAUCUCUACAACAAGACACUGUAUACUUCAACACUCUUGACGUCGAUAUCAUUCAGCCAAUCAUCACUGAACAAAUGGUUCAGCUACAGCGUGUACACCGGGACUCAGAGGACCUCACCAAGUCACUGAGAGAGAAGGCACUAGCUAUGAGGAAAGAAUUAGUGCUGUUGUACAAAUCAACACCAUAUGAUGACCACAAGCAACCAUUCACGGUGGAAGCUGUACGUAAUCACCUUCAGUCAAUUGAAGUAAGCACAUAAAAUACGCAUAUAAUUAUUUCAGUAUAAUUAUCAAAUAAUAAUGCACAAUGAUAUAUACAAGUAAUAGAUAAUUAUAGCGUGAGACUGAGUGUUUUGAAUAUUAUAUAUUACAGACACAUGCAAGUACUGCAUGCAUGCAUGUAUGUCAUUGUGUAAAAUACUCAUUCCUUACCAAAUAAUGCCAAUUAAGGCUACGUGACCAAAAUAGCACGGAAAGGACUAUACAUGACUUUUAUUUCUACAUGCACCCUUGUAACCUUGACAACGUGAUUUAUUAAUAAAACAGCCACAUGCAGUUGCGGCAGCUAUGUGCUACUCAGCAAUGUAGUACUCAGACUACACCAGCUGGGUGGAUGAAGGUUGCUCUACUACAGACAAACUUAUCGAUGAGAAGAUUAAGAUUUAUUACGGGGCACGUCUCCCCUAUAUACAGGGCAAUUCACCUCUCGAAAAAGAAGUACUAUACUUCACUCAAUUGAUCAGCGAAUCUGAAACACCACAAAAAUCUAUCUCUCAUCAUCUUGAUGUCAUGUGGUAUACUCUUGUCCCUGAAGUAAGUAUAAUUAUUAUUAUUACAAUUUGCUACUCCUAUAUUUACAUGCAAAUUAUUAUGUAUACAGGCCAUGAUAAAAGUCUCUUUAGUAAAGCCAACAAGUUGACAUACAACCAAGCUGUCGGACAUUACGUGGCUCACCGACUACCACAAUAACAAUCUCAGAUCAAUAAACUAUACUUGCAUCCAUGGACUUCUAUACUUAAAGUAAAAUGGCUACAGGGAUACAUAACUUGUUUUGAAAAAUACUUGACAAUGUACUACAACAUGGUGUUUUCUUUCA